rnacentral:rRNA from 1 species
AUGACCAAGGACGGCGGCAGCGAGACGGGCGGGUGCCUCUGCAUCGGCGCGCCGAUGCGCGCGCUGUCGCGGGCGUGCGACUCCGCCUGCGACCUCUACGUGCGCGGCAUGUCCGGGUGCGCCACCCGCGUGCCGGCCGGGGCAGUCGCGGGCGGCCGCGGCUCCGGCUUUGUCAGAUCGGCCACGACCGUGCACCUGUGGACGAGCUCGGACCGCGCCGACGACCUCAUCCGCGCCGCGUCGACGAAGCAGCGCCGCGUGGCGACGGCCGAUCAGCCGGCGGAUGUCGGGGCAGCAAAGAAGGGCCGCCUUGGCCCGGUGGCGCCGGCGAUCGUGCCGGCUCGGAGGAAGGGGCCGGCGAUGGCGACCAUCGCCGAGAACGGGCCGUGCGACUUCGGCGCCUGCGCGCUGACGCCACCGGAGCUGAGGAGGCGCGCCCCGGCGGUCGGUGGGGUGCGCGCGCCUGGCGGUGGGUUUGUCGCCGUCAUGGCGGCGAGCGAGGCCUUCGCGGCUCGAUCGUGA